rnacentral:misc_RNA from 1 species
GAUGAAGAACUUAGCGAAAUGCGAUACUUGGUGUGAAUUGCAGAAUCCCGUGAACCAUCGAGUCUUUGAACGCAAGUUGCGCCCGAAGCCACUAGGCCGAGGGCACGCCUGCCUGGGCGUCACACGCCGUUGCCCCCCCAUCUACUCCUUCGGGAUUGCGGGGGGGCGGAUGAUGGCCUCCUGUGCGCCUAGCCGCGCGGUUGGCAUAAAUACCAAGUCCUCGGCGACGCACGCCACGACAAUCGGUGGUUGCGAAACCUCGGUUGCCCGUCGUGUGCGUUCGUCGCGCAUCGAGGGCUCGAAAAAAUGCUCGGCUCCGGCUGGGCUUUCAACGCGACCCCAGGUCAGGCGGGGUUACCCGCUGAAUUUAAGUAUAUCAAUAAGCGGAGGA